rnacentral:rRNA from 1 species
GUAGGAUGCAAGCGUUGUCCGGAAUUAUUGGGCGUAAAGAGCGCGCAGGCGGUAUGACAAGUCAGAUGUGAAAGAGGCCGGCUUAACCGGCAAGGGUCAUUUGAAACUGUCAGACUAGAGUGCAGCAGAGGAUAGUGGAAUUCCCGGUGUAGUGGUGAAAUGCGUAGAUAUCGGGAGGAACACCAGUGGCGAAGGCGACUAUCUGGGCUGCAACUGACGCUGAGGCGCGAAGGCUAGGGUAGCAAACAGGAUUAGAUACCCUGGUAGUCCUAGCAGUAAACGAUGGAUACUAGGUGUUGGGGGAAAUUGACCCCCUCAGUGCCGCAGUUAACACAAUAAGUAUCCCGCCUGGGGAGUACGGUCGCAAGAUUA